rnacentral:rRNA from 1 species
UACGUAGGGGGCAAGCGUUGUCCGGAAUCAUUGGGCGUAAAGCGCGCGUAGGCGGCCAGGUAAGUCCGUUGUGAAAGUCAAAGGCUCAACCUUUGAAUGCCGAUGGAUACUGUGUGGCUAGAGUCCGGAAGAGGCGAGUGGAAUUCCUGGUGUAGCGGUGAAAUGCGCAGAUAUCGGGAGGAACACCAGUGGCGAAGGCGGCGCGCUGGACCGAUACUGACGCUGAGGCGCGAAAGCGUGGGGAGCAAACAGG